rnacentral:piRNA from 1 species
UAUGCAACGUUCAGUGCCCAUUAUGAUGCUU